rnacentral:lncRNA from 1 species
GAGCAGUUCAGCCCCAGAGCAGCAGUACUGGGCCUGUUUGGAGAGCUGUCUUCCUAGUCCAUCAGUAAUGACUUUGAUAACUGUUGGUUUUGAUUAGCAAGAUAGUUCUUUUGAAACUGUCCAGGCUUGAACACGUUAGCUUAUUUUAUGACUUUUGAUAACAGUAAGCUAUUAAAUGUUGUAAAUACAUGCUUUAGUUUUGAUACUGUGAUGUUUUUUCAAAUGAGUAAACUCACAUCAGGAAGAGAACCCUUUGCUGCAGCUUGGCAUAUUGGCUGUAUGAGGGUAGUGUGAGCUGCAAUAACAAAAGGGCCCUGCAGAUAUUCGUGGCUCAACUCUUAAAGUAAGACAGAGAAAUUUAGUAGUUUGUCGGCUAGGAAAUUAAAGGGUCAGUCUUCCUGUUCAGGCAGUUGGGCUCCAGAACACCUGUUCUUCACCUCUCUGCUCUAUUUCCAUCCAACAUGCCAAGACAACUCUGAAAUAUUAUUUCUUUCCCCCACUUUCUCAUACAUGGGAGGGUCAUCUCCCAUGUUGCUGUGCAUGCUGCAGUGUGCAUCUAACUGGAGACACGGAAGUAGUGGAUACAUCAGACCAGAUAACACAUUAUAAGUUGCUGUAAAACUAGCUUGCCUGGGAGUUUCUGUUGUGACUCAGAGCUGAGCUGCCUCAGGAGGCAGUGGAAGUGUUGAGAGACAGGGAUGGAGGCCACUUGACAGUAACAUCCAAAGAAAAUUCAAGAGCCGAGUCAGAGAAUGGACUAGUGUUCCUGAAAGUCGAAUCACGACCUGGGGAGAUAAAUGCCUGCUGUCUGUCACUCCAGAAAGAUUGAUGGCAUCUGAUCCCCUCCCUGCCCAACGCCUCUUGCCUCACUAGUGACUGACAUCUUCAGCAAAUCACGGGAAGUUCCUUUCUUACAGGAUCAUGGGGGCUAAGACACCUUUUGACAAAAUAAACCAAAUUGUUGCCAUGAAAUCAACAAACCAUUUUCCAAGCUUUGGACAACAUCCUAACUUAGGCAAAGGAACUCUGGAGAUGUUGACGAACCUGGGAAAACAGAUGUCUCCAGCCGACUGGUCAUCAAUGGGAGUCAAGCGGAAGCUUGGGAAAUUCAGAUGUCUUUCUUCUAUCUUUCCACCUAGUUGGGCACAUCCCCUGUGUGCUGGUUGAGGAGGACUUAUCACAAUAGCUGCUGGAUCCCUCUUUCUGGACAUGAAAGGACCUCUGAAGUUGGGCCCAAGCAGAAGAUCUGAAGCUAAGCCUGGUAUGUUUGCACAACACAGGCAAAGGAGAGCAGAAAGGCAGCCUCUUGGUGGAGUCAGGUGGGAGACCCAGUAUACGGCCAGGGAAGAAGCAGGCUGAGGGGCUGGCAUGGAGGCAGUGGCCAGGGCCGAGGCCAUGGCAUGAACUCUGGAGAACCAGCAGUGAGUAGACUUGAUGCAAAUUCUGGAACAACAUCCUCAGCUGCAGAGUCAUGGUGCUGCGUGUCUAUAGUCUGGGGUGGGGGUGCCUUUCUGAACUGUGCUACCCUCCUGUUGCUUCAGAAGCAUUUGGUUAUACCCAAGGGAACGUGGUGAGGCUUGGAGGUCUGGAGUGGGGGCUCAGGGACCGACUCCUGAGGUGAAGAUUCUCCUGCCCGUUGCUGUGUGAUCUGGGGGAGGUGCUUCCCUUUUCUAGGCCAGUGUCCUCAUUUGUUUGGGGGCCCCAUUUGCUGAGUGAGAGAGUUGGUAGUUGAUCAAGUUCUAGAGGCUGUAAACUUCUAAAGAGUUAAUAGUUAACUUCAGUGUAAACUGUUGCUGGCUUUAGGGUGCCCUCCUCCUGGGUUAUUUGCAUUUUAUACAAUACUCCUAGGAGACCAAAAUUCCUUAAAGACCUUAAAAAAAGAAUGAGGUCUCAAUGAUGGCAUAAAUGGUGCGUGCGUGUGUGUGUGUGUGGGGGGGGGAAGUUUUGCUUAAAAUUCUGCAAAUCUUUAAAGUCUGUCCCUGAUGUAUUGAAGGAUAAGGAUUUUAUGAAUCAUUUGUGAUGUUCAAACCCUAGGGAUACUCAUGGUGGAAAGGUAGGAACUAUUUCUAAUCUUUUAUUUAGCUAUGGUAAUUCUGUAUGAGCUAGCUGAAACAUCAGGUAUCAGAUCAAUGUGGUUGUCAUUUGGUGAUUAUUUGGGAUUCUGGGGGUGGGAAAUUAUCAGAGAGAAGGGGCCAGGAGUUUAGGAGAUGCCCCAAGUCUCUGGGGUAGUAAGAGCUCACCCCUGUAAGCUGGGUUUGGCUUUUGUUCUCUCAUCUCCCAGCCCUUGUCUUCACCGUCAGGCCCCACAUGUGUUCACCAUCAGAACAUGAGCUCUUCCAGGCUGGUUCACUGCUGGGAGCCAGAGUCACGAAGCUAACAGGUUCUUAGUUAACUGUGGUUGAAGGUUGCUGUUCUCAUCCGAGACUCCGAGUUCACCCAGCUGCAGAGUGGUCCCUGCUGCCAGCUCCUGGGUCUGUGAGCUGAAUGCCCAGCGUUUCCUUUCUAAAGGCACCUCCCAGGCAGAGGGUCUCACAGGUCUUGGAUGCUGGACUUGGUCACUUUUCAGGAUAGAAACAGGGGGAUGAAAUGAAACACCCAUCUCACAUCCCAGUACCUCCCACCUUAUUCUCAGGAAUGAAAAAAGCGAGCUUGUCACUUCAAAGGAAAGGAUGGGCAGGCUGUACGUGUUGGUGAUGACAACCGGCAAGCUUUCAAGCAAAGAUCUGAAUUUUGGAAACUCAUGUCCACCAUUGGGAGCUUGAUAGCUUCCUAAUAUUUAUAGACUGAUAAAAUUGGCAGUGAUGUGAACAAAUGUGACUUUUUGAUAGUGUAGAAUGAAAUACAUCAGCAUUUGGAAGAUCCGUACAAUUCUCUGGGCUACUAUUUCCCAAAUGACCAAUGAAAGAAACUACAAAAUCACACACAGAUAAAAGAUCCAUUGAAAGUAUAAGAGAGACCAGUAUAUUUUUACAGAACAGUGUGCAAAAAGCUCACUGAUAUAAUUUUGGAUUCCAUGUUGAAAGUAACCUUUAAGAAACUACCACUUAGCUUCAGUGUGUUAUCAAAGAAGAGUAUCCAUAAAAUUAUCUGCAAAGGCUAUUGAAACACUUCUCCUUUUCCCAACUACAUAGCCUCACAUGCUUCAACCAAAAUAAUAUAUGGCAGGUGGAAUGUAGACACAGAUAUGAAGAUCCCUCUUAAGUCACACAUCAAAAAGAUUUGGAAAGAUGAAAUAAAGUUGCUUCUCUCCUCA